CUGCGAAAGCCGGAUUAAUACCGCAUACGCUCUGCGGAGGAAAGCGGGGGGUCCUUCGGGACCUCGCGCUACAGGGGCGGCCGAUGGCAGAUUAGCUAGUUGGUGGGGUAAAGGCCUACCAAGGCGACGAUCUGUAGCUGGUCUGAGAGGACGACCAGCCACACUGGGACUGAGACACGGCCCAGACUCCUACGAGAGGCAGCAGUGGGGAAUUUUGGACAAUGGGCGCAAGCCUGAUCCAGCAAUGCCGCGUGUGUGAAGAAGGCCUUCGGGUUGUAAAGCACUUUUGUCCGGAAAGAAAACCUCGUGGUUAAUACCCGUGGGGGAUGACGGUACCGGAAGAAUAAGCACCGGCUAACUACGUGCCUGCAGCCGCGGUAAUACGUAGGGUGCAAGCGUUAAUCGGAAUUACUGGGCGUAAAGCGUGCGCAGGCGGUUCGCUAAGACAGAUGUGAAAUCCCCGGGCUUAACCUGGGAACUGCAUUUGUGACUGGCGAGCUAGAGUAUGGCA
rnacentral:rRNA from 1 species